AUUUAAUUUGUAAAAUGCGCUGUCGUUCCGGGGUUUUUUCCCACACAAGCCGUUAGGCGAUUUUUCCGUGUUCAUGAAUAUCACAAGUUGUUUUAAUUCGAAAAGAUUUGGCUCGAUGCAGCGAGGUAAACGUUACAGCGAGGUAAGCGAGGUAAAAUAGAGUCCUUGCUAAUUUUGGCACUUCCCGUCAUAAACAGUUUAAUCGUGCAACAAUUACUGCCAUUUAUUAGCAGAAAACCAGAAACAUGCCGAAUUGUCUUGUUUCUAUAGCUUCUCUUCCGUGCAUGUAAUGCACAGCAAUUCCAUUAGUAUAUACUUGUCAAUUUCGUUUCCCAACUAUAUCUUCACAUGAUACUAUACCUUAUAGGGAUAAUUUACGCGUUAAUGAACAUUUCCCCAUUUUAAAUACAUCGUGAACAGUUUCUACCAGUAUUCUAGCCGACGUUUCAUAUAAGAGUCCCCACAUGCCCUGGCCUAUAGCUACCCACACGCCCAGUACGACUCUGCCCCAAACCCAGCCCUAUCCCAACCUUGCGUUUUUGUGACAUUAUUUGAAAAUUCUUGUAUGAAAAUAAACUUCACCC
rnacentral:lncRNA from 1 species